rnacentral:rRNA from 1 species
UGGCCUACGGGAGGCAGCAGUGGGGGAUAUUGCACAAUGGGGGGAACCCUGAUGCAGCGACGCCGCGUGGGUGAAGAAGUAUUUCGGUAUGUAAAGCCCUAUCGGCAGGGAAGAAUUUAGACGGUACCUGACUAAGAAGCCCCGGCUAACUACGUGCCAGCAGCCGCGGUAAUACGUAGGGGGCAAGCGGUAUCCGGAUUCACUGGGUGUAAAGGGAGCGUAGACGGCCAUGCAAGCCUGGAGUGAAAGCCCGGGGCCCAACCCCGGGCCUGCCCUGGGAACUUUGCGGCUGGA